rnacentral:snRNA from 1 species
UGAUGAAGGCAAUCUGAUGGUGAUACUGGUCACCCUAUUGAUUCUGGGAUUAAUCAGACUGACCUGGCUGGAUAGGCAAGCAUUCUUUUUUUCCCUCUUAGCUUUACACGCACACUUAACAGGCUAGGAUAACCCUCUCUGAGAGAAGUGCCAUAUUUUUUUCAAGGACAAAGGCAACAUCUUUAAUGAAAAAGAUUUAUCAUACUAAGUGAAUAAAACAUUUUUGUCUUA